AUUGAACGCUGGCGGCAUGCUUUACACAUGCAAGUCGAACGGUAACAGGCCUUCGGGCGCUGACGAGUGGCGAACGGGUGAGUAAUGCAUCGGAACGUGCCCAGUCGUGGGGGAUAACGCAGCGAAAGCUGUGCUAAUACCGCAUACGAUCUGCGGAUGAAAGCGGGAGACCUUCGGGCCUCGCGCGAUUGGAGCGGCCGAUGUCAGAUUAGGUAGUUGGUGGGGUAAAGGCUCACCAAGCCAACGAUCUGUAGCUGGUCUGAGAGGACGACCAGCCACACUGGGACUGAGACACGGCCCAGACUCCUACGGGAGGCAGCAGUGGGGAAUUUUGGACAAUGGGCGCAAGCCUGAUUCAGCAAUGCCGCGUGCAGGAAGAAGGCCUUCGGGUUGUAAACUGCUUUUGUACGGAGCGAAAAGGCUCCCUCUAAUACAGGGGGCUCAUGACGGUACCGUAAGAAUAAGCACCGGCUAACUACGUGCCAGCAGCCGCAGUAACAC
rnacentral:rRNA from 1 species